CUCACCAUGUUUGGUGAGAAGUUAAAUGGCACAGACCCAGAGGAUGUCAUCAGAAAUGCUUUUGCUUGCUUUGAUGAAGAAGCAACUGGCACCAUUCAGGAAGAUUACCUGAGAGAGCUGCUGACAACCAUGGGAGAUCGGUUUACAGAUGAGGAA